GCACUGGCUUUACUGAUUCCUCCUUCUUGACGAACCGUGAUGUCAUUAAUUUGGUGUUGCGGGAAAUCAGGACUGUUACUUUGAAAAAAUUAGAGUGUUUAAAGCAGGCUAGCGCUUGAAUACAUUAGCAUGGAAUAAUGAAAUAGGACGUUAAUCCUAUUUUGUUGGUUUCUAGGAUCGACGUAAUGAUUAAUAGGGAUAGUUGGGGGCAUUAGUAUUCAAUUGUCAGAGGUGAAAUUCUUGGAUUUAUUGAAGACUAACUACUGCGAAAGCAUUUGCCAAGGAUGUUUUCAUUAAUCAAGAACGAAAGUUAGGGGAUCGAAGACGAUCAGAUACCGUCGUAGUCUUAACCAUAAACUAUGCCGACUAAGGAUCGGAUGAUGUUAAUUCUUUAAUGACUCAUUCGGCGCCUUACG
rnacentral:rRNA from 1 species